rnacentral:miRNA from 1 species
CAUUGCACUUGUCCUGGCCUUA